rnacentral:rRNA from 1 species
UACGUAGGGGGCAAGCGUUGUCCGGAUUUAUUGGGCGUAAAGCGCGUGUAGGUGGCCAAGUAGGUCCGCUGUGAAAACUUGAGGCUCAACCUCAAGCUGUCGGUGGAAACCCCUUGGCUAGAGUCCGGAAGAGGAGAGUGGAAUUCCUGGUGUAGCGGUGAAAUGCGCAGAUAUCAGGAAGAACACCAAUGGCGAAAGCAGCUCUCUGGGACGGUACUGACACUGAGACGCGAAAGCGUGGGGAGCGAACAGG